rnacentral:rRNA from 2 species
AAACUUUCAACAAUGGAUCUCUUGGUUCCGGCAUCGAUGAAGAACGCAGCGAAAUGCGAUAACUAGUGUGAAUUGCAGAAUUCCGUGAAUCAUCGAGUCUUUGAACGCACAUUGCGCCCCCUGGUAUUCCGGGGGGCAUGCCUGUCCGAGCGUCAUUGCU